UCCGGCUUAUAGCUCGGCGGUCUCGCUAAAGUGCCCAACUAAAUGCUGGUAACUAGCGACGAGGGUUGCGCUCGUUGCGGGACUUAACCCAACAUCUCACAACACGAGCUGACGACAGCCAUGCAGCACCUGUCACCGCGUCCCCGAAGGGAACCCCUGGUUUCCCAGAGUAGCGCGGGAUGUCAAGCCCAGGUAAGGUUCUUCGCGUAGCAUCGAAUUAAACCACAUGCUCCACCGCUUGUGCGGGCCCCCGUCAAUUCCUUUGAGUUUUAAUCUUGCGACCGUACUCCCCAGGCGGGAUACUUAACGCGUUAGCUGCGUCACUGAAGCUAUUAGGUACUCCAACGACUAGUAUCCAUCGUUUAGGGCGUGGACUAC
rnacentral:misc_RNA from 1 species